rnacentral:siRNA from 1 species
UCCAAUUGAGGAUGCCUUAUUGAU